CUAGUCUUUGAUCCAUCUUCACGUGUGUGUUUUUGAGCAGCUUUGUUCUUGAUUCUGGACUUGUGACAAUGGACCUCGGGAUAAAAUGCUGAGGCGCUUGGACGUCGAGGGGCUCGGGAGAACAGGGUCCGGCAUGCACGCCGAGGUCGCUACACCGAGGUGCAUGUUCAACACUUAGUCGUUUCCAGCUCCUUUCUUACGUGUGCAUGCCUUGAUCCCAACGUGCCGAGGUAUCUGUACGAGGCCUAGCUCAGGAUACUUCCAAAAUAUGAGCCUCGACUUGGCCGAUGUCGAGGUAAUGAUGCCGAGCUCUGAAGAAACACUUAGCGCGUAUCGCAACAUAUUUGGGCCCGUAUCGACC
rnacentral:lncRNA from 1 species